rnacentral:rRNA from 1 species
GAGUUUGAUCAUGGCUCAGAACGAACGCUGGCGGCAGGCCUAACACAUGCAAGUCGAACGAGAAGCCACCUUCGGGUGGUGGACAGUGGCAGACGGGUGAGUAACGCGUGGGAACGUGCCUUUCGGUUCGGGAUAACCCAGGGAAACUUGGGCUAAUACCGGAUACGCCCUUCGGGGGAAAGGACUCAUUGCCGAAAGAUAGGCCCGCGUCGGAUUAGCUAGUUGGUGGGGUAAAAGACCUACCAAGGCGACGAUCCGUAGCUGGUCUGAGAGGAUGACCAGCCACACCGGGACUGAGACACGGCCCAGACUCCUACGGGAGGCAGCAGUGGGGAAGUAUUGGACAAUGGGCGCAAGCCUGAUCCAGCCAUGCCGCGUGGGUGAAGAAGGCCUUAGGGUUGUAAACCCCUUUCAGCGGGGAAGAUAAUGACGGUACCCGCAGAAGAAGUCCCGGCUAACUCCGUGCCAGCC